GUCUUUUCGAAGGCUGAGGUAGCUCGACCUCUCCAGGGCCACCUUACAAAGAAAUUUGUAAAGUGCCGGGACCAGAGAUUGCGGAAAUGGAGACGCCGUGUGUGGAAAGGUGGGCGCAUGGGGCGGAAAAGGGAACCUGAUCGACACCGGUCAUCCGAUGGUUAGUGGAGACGCCUUCUGGCAGUGUAGCCGCCCCUGUCUGCUCCGACGUGAGCGC
rnacentral:lncRNA from 1 species